rnacentral:rRNA from 1 species
UACAGAGGUCUCAAGCGUUGUUCGGAUUCAUUGGGCGUAAAGGGUGCGUAGGUGGCGCUGUAAGUCGGGUGUGAAAUUUCGGAGCUUAACUCCGAAACUGCAUUCGAUACUGCGGUGCUUUGAGGACUGGAGAGGAGACUGGAAUUCAUGGUGUAGCAGUGAAAAUGCGUAGAGAUCAUGAGGAAGACCAGUGGCGAAGGCGGGUCUCUGGACAGUUCCUGACACUGAGGCACGAAGGCCAGGGGAGCAAACGGG